rnacentral:tRNA from 1 species
UUCUUAGAAGCUUGCAACUAGCCCUGGCCCUUUAAGCCAGUCAAGUACUACUACCGUACCUAAGAAU